rnacentral:rRNA from 1 species
GUCUAUGGCUAUGCUACCCUGAACACGCUCCAACCCAUCUGAUCUCGGAAACUAGGCAGGGUCGGCCUGGUUAGUACUUGAAUGAGAGACCCCCUAGGAAGACGAGGUGCUGUAGGUG